AUAAAUUAAGAUUUAAAAUGAAUUACCUUCAAAAUCCAUUUCGAUAAAAUAUCUUUAAUACUUUUGUUAUUAUCUUCGUCGGAAAGGCAAGCAUCUAAACUUCUGUUCUUGCUCAUCAGGUAAUAAACUGAGUGCUACUGACCGGGCGCUAGUUUUUCGGGAGCAGUUAUAGGGAUUUAGGAGUAAUCUUGGAGUCCCCCACCAUCAGGUAAAGUUUUUCGGGAGCGUUCCCGGAAGCGAAGUAUCGAAACACGAUGUUUUUAUCAAAGCGAAAACCGAUAAUAAACAGGUCCAUAAAAUCGGGACCGAAAUAAGAAAAUUAA